rnacentral:rRNA from 1 species
GACGUAGGGCGCGAGCGUUGUCCGGAUUUAUUGGGCGUAAAGAGCUCGUAGGCGGCUUGUCGCGUCGACUGUGAAAACCCGCGGCUCAACCGCGGCCUGCAGCCGAUACGGGCAGGCUAGAGUUCGGUAGGGAGACUGGAAUUCCUGGUGUAGCGGUGAAAUGCGCAGAUAUCAGGAGGAACACCGAUGGCGAAGGCAGGUCUCUGGGCCGAUACUGACGCUGAGGAGCGAAAGCGUGGGGAGCAAACAGG